GGAGGUACUGCCUGCCCAAUGACAAUAUGUUGAAUGGCCGCGGUAUUUUGACCGUGCUAAGGUAGCGCAAUCACUUGUCUUUUAAAUGAGGACCCGUAUGAAUGGCAAGACGAGGGCUUAACUGUCUCCUUUUUCCAGUCAAUGAAAUUGAUCUGCCCGUGCAGAAGCGGACAUUUUUAUACAAGACGAGAAGACCCUUUGGAGCUUAAGACAAACCGACCAAAUGUGUCAAUCAUUUUAAUAAAUAAAAGAUAAACAAAACAUUAUCUUGGUCGACGUCUUCGGUUGGGGCGACCGCGGAGGAAAACAAAGCCUCCAUGUGGAAUGGGUAUUUACCCUUAACCAAGAGAGACAUCUCUAAGUCUCAGAAUAUCUGACCAAAAGAUCCGGCCAUUAGGCCGAUCAACGGACCAAGUUACCCUAGGGAUAACAGCGCAAUCCCCUCCAAGAGUCCAUAUCGACAAGGGGGUUUACGACCUCGAUGUUGGAUCAGGACAUCCUAAUGGUGCAGCCGCUAUUAAGGG
rnacentral:rRNA from 1 species